ensembl:lncRNA
CUGGAAUGUUAGCAAGCUAUUUGCUGGAAAAAAUGCCCACAACAGGCCUAAUGUUGAUCACAUUAAUGCGUUUGAGUGAGUAUGGAGUGCAAAUGAUUGAAAAUGCUUCCAGAUCCCCGUUGCAAGGGACAAAGCAGGCUCUGUUCUCUGAUCUGAUGGUCAUUUUUUUUUCCAGCGGAGGAUGUGGGGCAGGAAGAGGGAAGAGGGCCAAUCUCUGUCUAAUGGUUCCAAACAGGGCCCGGGCCCGGCCCUCUGGAUGCUGACGAGUGGGAAAUGAAACACAGAUGGGUCAGAUGGGUAAGGAGAGGGGGAUUACAGGUCAGGCCAAAGAGUUGGAAUAAAUUAAGUGCUUAUGAGGUACAGAAUGGCACAUUGUUUAAGUGAAUGGACAGGGAAAAAACAUUCCAGCAUUGUUCAUCUGCCGAGGGAGCCCAACGCUCCUCUUCCCAGACGAGCCCAGGCCACAGAGCGCCUCCUCCUCGCCAGGAUGUUUGUGACCCACAGACUGAAAACGCGGCCAGGCGGUGCCCGAAACAUUCUCCCAGCCUCCAAAGAGGCCAGUUUGGCUUUAUUACACGGGAGAUGUAAUUUAUUGGGAGAAAUGUUUGGGUUCGUGUGUCGGAUGGUGGAGAGUCAGAUUUGGAGUUCCCUAGGGAUCUCCGAGGAGAAGGUAUGUUAAGGAAAUCACCAAGUCCCAGAGUGUAGACGAGCCCGAUCCCUUCGCAGCAGGAGAAUUCAGGCAAAGCUGUCCAUUCGGUUGGUAACGAUACAAGCAGGAGAAUAGGACGGAAAUCCAAUUCUUCUGCUCCCUGGGGUGUGACUCUCAUACUGCAUCGCACAGCUUUCAUUUCGUGAAGAACUUGUGGGUAAGCCUUUCACCCAACCUAGGAAUUCUUUUCAGAGGAAGUCAUCAAUCCCCAAGUACCCAUUACUUCUUCUUUUCUUUUUGUCUUUCAAAACAGGUAACACAGACAGAAACAUGAGGGCUUGGGGCCACGUGGUAGGAAUUUUAUUUCCC